CAGCAGCCGCGGGAAUACGGAGGAUCCAAGCGUUAUCCGGAAUCAUUGGGUUUAAAGGGUCCGUAGGCGGUCUUGUAAGUCAGUGGUGAAAGCCCAUCGCUCAACGGUGGAACGGCCAUUGAUACUGCAGGACUUGAAUUAUUGGGAAGUAACUAGAAUAUGUAGUGUAGCGGUGAAAUGCUUAGAGAUUACAUGGAAUACCAAUUGCGAAGGCAGGUUACUACCAAUUGAUUGACGCUGAUGGACUAAAGCGUGGGUAGCGAACAGGAUUAGAUACCCCCGUAGUCCCUGUCUCUUAUAC
rnacentral:rRNA from 1 species